GUCUACGGCCAUACCACCCUGAAUGUGCCCGAUCUUGUCUGAUCUUGGAAACUAAGCAGGGUCGGGCCUAGUUAGUACUUGGAUGGGAGAAAACUCAAGAAGACUUUGAGGGAGGGUAGAGG
rfam:Canis lupus familiaris chromosome 32, whole genome shotgun sequence.